AAAAAAGGAAUAACAGAAGAAGCUUUUCUGAAAGUUAGUGAAGUUGAAAGUUGAACUCAAUUAUAGGGCGGCCUAAUUAGAUUUUAAAUAGCAAAGUUGUAGGCAGAGGGAGCGGAGCAGAGCAGAGUAUCCUAACAAUUUGGUACGGCGAUUCCUCCUAAACCCUAAACCCUGGUUGAUUAAGGGGCUUCAAUUUCUUAUAUUCCCUUGUCGAUAUUUGUUUUUUGUUUACAGAAAUUGUUUUAUGAUUAAUAUUAAUUCUCACAGGGUUGUUGUCGGUGCAUUCACCAUUACUGGCUUUUAUAGUUUGCUAUUUAUCUUAUUAAGAAUUGAUAAGAUGGAGAAUCAUCGAUUUAAUGCAAUUAAUUUGCCAAUUUGAUAUCUAUUAUAUAUAUCUAACCCUGUCUGUUUCAGUUUUCACCCCACUACUAUUAGUCUCUCUGGUUGAGUUUGUUGCAUAUUGGUCCUUGAUGUAGUUGUGAUAUAUUGAACUAUGUACUCCUCUCACUAUAUACUUUGAAUAUUGUUUUUUCACUCUUACUAAUUAUAAUACAUGAGUUCUUCUGCACUUUCUCAAGAAGAAGAAGAAGCUACCCGAGGCAAAGGCUAAGAUUAUACUGAGAUAGUGUUUAAAAUCUUCAACGUUGGCUAGUGGAACAAUUGUGAACAUUCUAGACAUGGCAUGCUCUCACGGGGGAACUCAUCUAUAAUGGCACUGGCAUCAUCAUCAUCCCUUUUGCACUUUGGAUGGUUUUUGAAAUACAGGGUUAUGCCUAGCAACUAGUAGCUCUGUGCCCAUUGACCCAUUUCAUUGCAAACAUUGUGCGUGUCUUGUUGGACGAGUAUUUUUCACCUACCACUACCCGAUUGUUAGGUUAUGCUUUUAAACAGUCAGCCUUAAUACUUCAAAACGCUGGAUAAAGUCGCCGCCACCACCACCCUCAGGCUCUGCAAGGAGAUAUAGUGAAAGUUUUUGUUUUUCAUGUCAUCAUUAGACCUGACAUCAACUACAUUAAUGGGACGAAACUAUGUGAAUAUGAGGCUCCCCCUCUCAUGCUUCCACUAAUCAUUGGUUUCUUUGCACUUUCUUACGUUACCAAAUACCAAUGAAUGGAAUUUGCUCUCACAACCUUUCUACUUCUUAAUGCACAAGAUAUUCAACGCAAUUAAGGGAUUUCCACAGUGUGCAUACAUUCAUGUUUGCUAAUUUUAGUUUUGUUAAUUCUUUCUUUCUUGAAUUUUAAUUUAUUGUCCAAUUUUAUAGUUAUUGAUGAAUUUUUGGGUAUUCCCAUCCAGCAAACGCAGAUCUGGCUCAAUGGCUAGGUAAGGCAACUGCCUAAAGUCUCAGGAAAAAUUAAGUUUCAAUAUUUUUUAGUAUGUAGUUAAACUUUUAUAUUUUAAUCAUUCAAGUUCGAGACUUCCCAUAAACUUUGUAUUAGCGUUAGUUCUCUCUUAAUAUUUUUUUAGCUACAUCAAUGUGCCAUUUUUAAUUCAGUGUCUAAACACACUCUCUAGUGUCCCUUGCUAGGAGUAAAGGGUCAUUAUCCCCAACACUUAUGACAUUGAUUUGCAUUCCG
rnacentral:lncRNA from 1 species